CACAGAUAGGUACCAACAUUUCAAAAAAACGGUAAAGAGACUUGUAUGAAAAACCGAAGACACCAUUAACCAACCAACCAACCAGGUAAAGAGUUUACAAAUUGCAUGAGGCGGGAAAGUCCAAUAGGCUCAACCUAAUAUAGACUUGACAGAGACAUAGACACAUGACAACGAACUUUUUGAAAAGUUGCUAGACAAUAGUUCCUACCCAAGAUUCCUCAUAUUAUUUUAUAACCCCCUCAAAGCCAUACACAUGUUGAACAUUGUUUGCAUCUUCAGAGAUAGGUACACCCCAUCAUGGGAGNNNNNNNNNNNNNNNNNNNNNNNNNNNNNNNNNNNNNNNNNNNNNNNNNNNNNNNNNNNNNNNNNNNNNNNNNNNNNNNNNNNNNNNNNNNNNNNNNNNNNNNNNNNNNNNNNNNNNNNNNNNNNNNNNNNNNNNNNNNNNNNNNNNNNNNNNNNNNNNNNNNNNNNNNNNNNNNNNNNNNNNNNNNNNNNNNNNNNNNNNNNNNNNNNNNNNNNNNNNNNNNNNNNNNNNNNNNNNNNNNNNNNNNNNNNNNNNNNNNNNNNNNNNNNNNNNNNNNNNNNNNNNNNNNNNNNNNNNNNNNNNNNNNNNNNNNNNNNNNNNNNNNNNNNNNNNNNNGGGGCUAUGUUUUUUUUUUGCUUUGACUGCUACUAUUUAGGACCAUAGGCCGCGAUCUGUUGCUCCAGCUGCAUUAAAAGAAGAAUAAAAUAAUGAUUAUGACAUGCCUAAAGCGCAUAAUGUUUGUCAAGUCACAAGGAUUCACAAAUCAGCCAUGUUACAAGGUGGUUGGUAUCUUAUUCCGGUCAUUGCCCACGUUGACAAACAAAGAAAUUAUACGGCUUAAAACUACCAAAUCUAGCGACUGAAAUGUCAUGACUAAAUAUAAGACAGAAACAUUUCAGACCCCUAAUAAAACAAACAGUAUAUCUAGAUAAAUAUCAAUAGCAAAAAUAAUGAGAUCAAGCUUUCUUAAACAAUCCAUGACUGAUCCGUAGAUUAUGACACUAGUCAGAAUUUGGAAGUCAAAAGCCAACAUAGGCACAUAAGGGGCUACCUGCAUCAUUGUCUGGAACUUGUUGCACACAUCGCAAAACUCAUUCCUAAGAAGAGCCAGCGCCAUGAGGCACCUGCGAUAAUGCAAACAUACCACAUUGUCAAAUUCUGUAGUGAAUAAUUACGCGAAUUGAACUGUGGAAAUCAUAAGCCUCUGCAUGAAAAAAAAUACAUCUAGCCAUCUCAGACUUAGUCAUGCUAUAAAUGUAAGUCUAGAACUACCAAGUUACAAUAGAAUAAUCAUAGAGGCAUAUUCAGUAAUGAACCAAGUUCUACCAUCACAUGGUUGCACAUAAAGUGAACGCCAGUCCUUGAGAAUAUUAGAUUGGUAUGAACAUAGUAUAGUGGUAUAAAAGAGGAAAUUAGCCGGCAGGUUUACAUAUAGAAUGUGAACAAUACAGGGUGUGGAGAAUAAUUAUUGUGAACAUAUAUAAUAAGGUACUAAGUAUACUGACCCUUCUUUGCUUCUUGCCUCGAUGUACUGAUUGAAGUGCAUGCAGGAGAGGUUCACUUUCUUCGCACCGACACUGAUACAGGCCAAAAAGAGCAAGAUCAGGACACUAUAAGUUUCUGAAACAUAUUAAACGUUGCUGCUGUCAUAAUGAUGUUCUCAAGGAGCCAUUUUAUCUAGGGGUUGUAAACACAAUAAAUUGUUUGAUCAACCAAAAGAAUAAAUAGCGGUAGCCUUAAAUGCAAUUGUAGAUGUACUCAAGAUGUAUAUUGCCAUUAGCUAAAUAUAAUAAUAGAUUUGUCCUCAAGACGACAAAGUAUUCCUUGAAGAGCUAUAUCAUGACCAUUGGCAUGGAUAAUGAUAACUCCAUGUGUAACAACAGAACUCAGAUCUUAUACUUAUGUAUAUCUGACAGCCGCAAACGACACCGCGCCGAUACAUCCGAUCAUAAACGUGGAUACACCAAAAAAACUACCAUCGGGAUUACACACAUAAAUAUACCAAAUUAAUAAUACCAGAACCGUUCACAACGCGACGUACUAACCAUAAUAUUGCCGUUAGCAUGAAUACCGGUACUUCCUCUACAUGAAACACAAGUAAACUCGACACUUCUACCUAUGACAACACAACAACGCAAACAACUACAUAAACUGCUUGCCCAAGACAAACACAUCUAAAUCACACCGACAUGGAUGUGGCGGAGAACAAACAAACAGUUAUAAAUGGGCCUGAGAAAGAAAAGGGCUUAUCAUCAUCACCUGCAGCUGCAGCCCUUGACCCGAUGCACCAGGUCGUCCACCUUGUCGAAGUCUGGCACGGGCUCGUUCCUGCGAAUCGGAAAGCGGAGAGAAUGAAAUCAGUACCGAAGAUGAGAUGACGAAAGCAGAUAGAGAGAGAGGAGAGGUUGGGGGCUGACAGCAGGCCGGCGAUGUCGUUGAUGAUCCCGUUGGCGUUGCCGAUGAAGAGCUUUAUGACCUCGACGACCAAGCCCGGGCCUGAGCUGCCAUCCUCUUCCCUUACAACUUCGAGUGAGUGUUACUGUCUUGUGCAUAUUCGGUUUCCCUUAUUAGUCGAGGUUAUAGUAAUGUAAUUGAUGAAUUAUGCAUGCGUGCGCAGGUUCCACUAUAUUCUUCUAGAGAUUACGCUUGAGCAGGGACUAGUAACCGUCUUAGACUUGAGACGAAAAGAUCCCAAGAAGUACGCGGACAUGACUGAAAUUCUAGAGAAGUAAGUUAAAUCUAUCAUUAUCGCACCAUAUCGACAACUUCAAUUUGUUCAUUUGCUGAUAUCAAGUAAUUGUUUUCUUUGUCUGACAGGGUUUGGAGUAAAUUCACCUCAAAAACUCCGGGACUGCCAAAGAAGCUGCAGUUUAGACAUCCGAAAGUAAGUACUAUAGUAGCAUAUAUGUUUCACGCAUCUCCUAGUGAUUCAAGCGCUAGUUUCAUCAAUACCAUUUAGCAUGCUUGCUAAUUAUCAGUUUGAUUGACCUAUAUUUCUUGUAAAGUGGUUGUGGCAGGAAGAAGGGACUAAUUACUGUGGAUACUACAUUUGCGAGUCCAUCCGCCACACGACCUGUGAGCGGGGCUACUCCGAGAAACAAUAUAAAGUGCGUAAAUAAUUAUAUUCACAAUUUUAUUUUAUUACCAUCAUUUGUGUUCAGUUUCAUUUAUUCAUAUAUAUGUAUUGACUCCCUUCUUCAAAUUAGAUAUUUCGGAUGCGAGAUGAACUCCUAGCACCAGAUCGUAUGCGAGGAAUUCAAGAGGAAUUGGCGGCAUUCUUUCUUGACCACGUGAUCGCUAAAGAUGGAGAAUACUAUGUGGACCCUGCGGGGUUCAAUUUUAAUUAGGAGAUUAUAUUGUAAAAGAUACUUAUAUUGUAUAUAUGUAGCCAGUAGCGUCGGAUAGAUAUACGAAAACUUGUUGUUCGACCAAUCUCUCAGAGAAGGAGAGGUGGUCGAUAUCACUUCUCUUUGUAUGCAUCUGUUCAUGACGAUCUUCUGUUUCCUUCAUUUGCUUAACUAGCUAGCGUGUCUAGUCCUCUCUAUACGUAUAGUACGUAGCGUCGACCAAGCACGGAGAUAAGAAAGGACACUUCUCUCUAUUAAUUAGCAUGCUAACACAAUAUAUGAAACACCUAAAUUAACCCCCCAAAACCCCAAACCCUUCCCCCCUUUCAAAAAAAUAAAAACCCAGCACCUGAGAUGCUGACACGUGGAUGCCUAUUGGUCCCGGUUGGUGCCACCAACCGGGACCAAAGGGCCUCCUGCCUGGGCUCGCCGCACUGGCCACGUGGAGGCCCAUCUGUCCCGGUUUAUGCAAGAACCGCACUACAAGAAAUAUGCUCAUAUGUGAUGUUUUUUAAAAUGUCGUUGACGAAUUCGUCAUAAAUCUAUGAUGAUUUCAUCCGACAUCAUCGUAAACCGUUUGAGGGGAUCAAAUGUACAUAUAAAUUACGACGAUGUGAGUCAAAACGUCGUAACCGCAUAAGAUGAGAUCGUCAUAACUUUUACGACGACUGUAAAAAUGUCGUAACAUGUUCUAACUAUGUUGACAUGUCACUCGUGGGUCCAUUCUAUCCCACCCGAUCCUAGUUUGUGAAGCAACCUACUAUUCUAUCAUUCCGAAAAUUCUCGAAAAAUUCUCAUAAAUACUUUGGACUGUAUAUUUCUCAAAUAUGUGAAAACCCUCCCUUCCAUAGUUCAAAAAUAAUUCAAAAAUAUUCAUUUUCCUAUUCUGUUCAGAAUAGCACUUUGUGUAGGAAGUGCUAUUUAUGUUUCUUUGAUUACCCUCAUAUUGUUUGGGCACUCUUUCCUAUCCAAAUCAUUGCCUCAUGAAACUUUCGUAACGAUUUGCCAAGUAAAUCUUUCUCAGCAAAUUUCCAAAGUUUGUGUUCAGCUAACAGCUUUGUGAAGGAAGUACUAGAUAAGAAUAUCCUGAUGAGUUGAAUUUUUUCCACAUCAUCUAUGUGCCCAAAACAUAGCUCUCCAUAAAAUUUUAGCCACAUCUAACAAUCCACGUGAGCUCAUCAUCCAAUCUUUGUUUCUGGUAAUAUUUUCAUUUUGUGAAGCAACUAGACUUUAUAUUGCUUUAUAGUUGAUGAAAAUUUACCACGGGAUGACACUGACCAUAUAACCUCACUCCACCAAAUUUUAACUCAUUUAAUUCAGCCAGUUUCCCUCAAUAUUUUUCCCAAUAUUCUGUUCAGUAGAGAGCAUUGUGAAGGAAGUAUAAUUUUUCUUUAUCCAAAUUUUAUGAAAUUUUUACAGUACCUUAAUGUGCCCAAAUUAUCAUCCUCCUCCAAAUUUCAGCUCAAUCCAAUCAUCUAUGUGAACCCAGUUUCAAUUACCAUUUUUUGUCCAGAUUGGCACAUUGUAAAGGAAGUGUCACUUUUGCAUCUCCAAAUGUUAUAAUUUUUAUACAGUGCCUUCAUACGCCCAAAUUAACAUCAUACACCAAAUUUCAGCUCAAUCCAUUCAUUCAUUUGAUCCCAUCUUCAACAUUCAUAUUUCUGCACAAUGUGUUAGUUUGCAAAGCAAGUGCCACCUAGAUUCAUCCAUUUGAGCUAAAAUUUUGCCAAGAGAGUCUCCUUAGUAGAUGAUCAUACUCAGCCAGAAUUUAGUCCCAUUUUCUAUGUGAAUUACCCGCACCGCUAAUCAAACACUUGGCUGCUAAUUUAUGUUUGAGCUUAGUUCAAUCUUCUCGUGAGAUUAUUCUAUUGUAUUCUUAUUGCUAACACCUACCGAGGGAUUGUCCAACCCACCAGACAUGCCUAUUCCACCUAGAACGCGUGGCAACGCAACGGUCAGGCGGUGACCAUGCGGCUGGCAUGCAAGUUCACGCGCUUUGGAGUUGGGGCCCUCGACCACCAUCCAAACCUCUACGUCAAGGCACCACACCAUGUAUUUCCAAUUAAAUAGAUACUUAUAUACCUAUAAAUGAUUUUUGGGAAAAAUAAAGAGCAAACUAUAAUGCAGCUGCAGUUCAAAUUUAACCCGCUUCCAGCUGAAUCGACAUAAAUUUGUCUUUUUCACGAGAGGUGGACAAAAGAUUUUAACACCUAACCAUUUUGUCAAUUGUACAUUAAAUAUGGACUAGUAUUUUAUAAAAAUAAUUUGGUCUAAUUUUGAAACAAAUAUAUGGUAGGUCCUUCACAAAAAAACUCAUUUUGGUCACUUGAAAAAUGGAAAAUGAAUUUUUCAUACAAGGGAAAUGAAAACUUCCUUAAUCAACAUUGUUUGCCAUUCCAAUAUGCACCCUUGUGCAUAAUAUUAUAUCAUUUCAACAAGCUAUGUCAUGAAUGUGGUCAUAAGAUUGAUCAUUUGGCUUGAAAGCCAAGAAUCUUCACACAUGAUAGCCCAUUUCUAAGAACACUUAUUUAAAAUAAUUGUCGCAUUACUUGUUUAUUAUUUUUCCUAGUAACGUUGUCACAUAUAAUGACACAAUGCAAUGGUUUUCCAUUUUUUUGAAUUUGUUUUGAAUUUUUCAUGGCCAUUUCAAAAGGCGGUCAAAACAUCGGGUAUGACCGUUCCUACCUAGUGGUUGAACCUUGACAAUAUUUUGAUGUUUCUAUGAUUAAAUAGAUACUUGUGUACCUAAAACGAUUUUUAAGAAAAAUAAAGAGCAAACUAUAAUGUAGCUGCAGUUCAAAUUUGACCCGCUUUCAGCUGAUUCAACGAAAAUUUGUCUUUUUCACGAGAGGUCGAUAAAAUCCAUUAACACCCAACCAUUUGGUCAACUGUACAUUAAAUAUGUCCUAGUAUGUUAGAAAAAUGAUUUGGUACAAUUUUGUUACAAAUAUAUGGUAGGUCCUUCACAAAAAAACUCAUUUUGGGCAAUUAAAAAUGGAAAAUGAUUUUUUCAUGCAAGGAAAAUGAAAACUUCCUUAAGUAACAUUGUUUGCCAUUUCAAUAUGCACCCUUGUGCACAAUAUUAGAUCUUUUGGACAAACUAUGCCAUGAAUGUGACCAUAAGAUUGAUCAUUUGGCUUGAAAGCCAUUAAUCUUCACACAUGAUAGCUCAUUUCCGAGAACAUUUUUAAAAAAUAAUUGCCAUAUUACAAGGUUAUUAUUUUACCUAGUAACUUUGUCACAUAUAAUGACACAAUGUGAAGGUUUUCUAUUUUUUUUAUUUUUUUUGAAUUUUUCACGUCCACUUCAAAAUGUGGUCAAAACGGCGGGUAUGUCGACCAUUCAUAUUAUUUGAAAAUGUAACAAGCUCUCAUGUUUAUGAAAUUUGGUGUGGUAUUGGUUUAUAGUCCCUAGAAGACGUGGAAAGUUUGUGAAAAAAAUUACUAAGUUUUAUCAUGUUUAUUUUGACAAAAGUAAUAGUCUAAAGAAACACAAAUUAUUUAAAGCUUUCCUAUUGGAUGGAAUAGAGCUCUCGUGGAUCGAUGACCUGGUUCUAUUCAACUGCGCAAGGAAGGCUGCGAGGAGAGCGUGCGGUGGCGCCGCCAGGGUGGUGUCGCGGCUGCGGGUGGUCCGAUGCAUGACGGCGUAGGAUGCCGCGCAGCUCAAGAGCGCGCGGGAGGACAUCAAGGAGAUCCUCAAAACCACCGACUGCCACUCCAUCCUGGUACCUCCUCGCUCUCUCUCUACAUAUACAUGCUUUCAGCUCUACCUCCAGGUUGCAAAUCCAUCAUCGUAUUUCUUUCCUGCUAACAAACUGAAUAAAGCUUGACCGCAUCAAAAAUUUCAUCUGUACCGCUCCAAAGUUCUCUUCACUUGCCGUUUUAUGAGCGCAAAAGCAGUGACACGCUCGUCCGUCGCUGCCGGUGAGACUGGGCAUUGUGCUGGUCUCCGGCUGCCACCUCGCAUUGAUCCAACGGACGGGUGACGACGAUGAAAACAGUUGGUGCACCACGCCGCAGCCACCCGUGCCAGUGUCUUUUGGAUGGAGCACGAGGUUGGCCUGUGUGUGUUUUGCUUCUUGGAAUCUUGGCAUCAUCGAAGCUGCUAUCAAAAGGAGUUGAGAUGAGUGCUUCACAUAGCUAAUGGCCACAUCGAAGUUGAAUUUUUUCCACAUCAUCUAUGUGCCCAAAACAUAGAUUCCUCUAUUUUUAGUAUUUGCAAACUACUCCCUCCGUCCCAAAAUAAGUGUCUCAAGCUUAGUACAAGUUUGUACUAGAGCUUGUAUAAAGUUGAGACAGUUAUUUUGGGACGAAGGGAGUAUUUUAAAUCACUGCUUUUCCGAACCAAUCAAAACCCUUCCCACGGAUCGAUGACAUGGCGCCCAUCCAUCCAUCCAUCCAUCUCUUCAUCCCACAUCCAUCCAUCCAUCUAUCUACAGAAAAAAAAACUAAAAAAAGCAACCCAAACCCUAGGUCAGAUCCCCCCAUCCCACCCUUCCUCCCUAGUCCCCAUCUCCUCGCCGCCGCCGCCACCUCCUCCCCGUCCCCGCCCCCCUCCCGAUCCCCACCACCUCGUUCGAGGACAGGGACCGCGGGCUGUCCUCGUCGGAGGCGGCGGCGCGGCGGCGCGCGCACGGGCCCAACGAGCUGCUCGACCACCCGGGGCACUCGGUGCUGCAGCUCAUGGCGCAGCAGUUCGAGGACACGCUGGUGCGCAUCCCUCUCGCCGCCGGCGCCGUCUCGUUCGCGCUCGCGCUCUCCUCGUCGGCCGGCGCGCUCACGCUCUCGGCCUUCGUCGAGCCGCUCGUCAUCUUCCUCAUCCUCGUCGUCAACGCCGCCGUCGGGGUCUGGCAGGAGACCAACGCCGAGAAGGCGCUCGAGGCGCUGCGCCAGAUCCAGUCCGACCACGCCGCCAUGCUCCGCGACGCCGAGUGGGCGCCCGCCCUCCCCGCGCGCGACCUCGUCCUGGGGGACGUCGUCAUGGUCCGCGUAGGGGACAAGGUCCCCGCCGACAUGCGCGUCCUCAGGCUCGUCUCAUCGAACCUCCGGGUCGAGCAGGGGUAGCUCACCGGCGAGACCAACUCCGUCAACAAGACGGCCCACGCCGUGCCGGCCGACGAUGCCCACAUCCAGGCCAAGGACUGCAUGGUGUUCGCGGGCACCACCGUCGUCAAUGGCAGCGCCGUCUGCCUCGUCGUGCAUACCGGGAUGGCCACCGAGAUUGGCAAGAUCCACUCGCAGAUCCACGAGGCCUUGCAGGAGGACGAUGACACGCCGCUCAAAAAGAAGCUCAACAAGUUCGGCGAGGCGCUCACCAUGAUCAUCGUCCUCAUAUGCAUCCUCGUGUGGCUCAUCAAGGUCAAGUACUUCUUGACCUUCGAGCUCGACGGAUGGGUGCCCAUGAACAUCCAUCCAUCUAUCUACAUCCAUCCAUCCAUCUACAUCUAAGCAAUCGUUUUUGUUUGCUAAUGUGAUAGGUAUUACUUGGUGUGGACCGGCUAGACAUGAUUAAAGGACUCCUGCAAAAGGUGUUGGCCUUUGAUAAAAUUCUUGUGGAAAACAAGGAAUUGGAUUCUGAAUACAAAGUAGUUCUACUGCAGAUUGCAGUGCCAACCAGAAGUGACGUACCUGAAUGUAGGAUUCAUUUUUAUGGUUUAUAAUUUGUUCGUGCCUUCUAUGCAAAUAACUCGUAUAAUGGACAUGCAGAAUAUUUACUUACUUGAAUGGGUUUAUAAUUAAGUACAAUGUGAUAUCAUGCUUCAGAAAUAAUAUACCUUCUAGGCUUCUACUAGCUGAAGUAAUGGAACUCCCAAGUUUGUUGCUGACACUUCUUGUGAAUGAAAUAGAAGAUGCGGUAAUGUUUGAAGUGUUUUGUCCAGAACAUAAAUUUCUGCAUGAUUGGGUUCCUUAGAAUAUUUCAGAGUACUGUUUUUAGUAAUCAUUGAACGCAUAUUACUAUUGGUAAUUCUCUACUUUUAAUUUGCAAAAUAAAAAUGCCUCAUUAAGAUUUAAGGGUCCAAGUCCCAAGAGUCUAAUACCACACACACAGUCGGCCAUUCUUAAAUUUUGCAUCCUAAUGAACUUCUUUUCUGACAGAAAAUAAUGCUACUCUGAUACUGAUGACAUAAUUACAAUCAAUUCCCUCACACCCUUAGCUCUUCAAAUUAUAUAUGUUUUGGGUUUUCACACAUUUGGUACCUCUGCCCGGCGAAAACAUAGGGGUUAAUCAUGUUGUGCAAUUCUAUUCAGGCCUAGUUCAGGGAACUACCCGAAGGCGUGCUUGAUAGCCUCUCACCGGAGCAAGUCCUGAACUGCAGCAGCCUCUCCUUCCAACGGCGACCAAGGUAACCUAGACCUCUUUCAUCUCUUCUGCUUCGAUUUAUUGUUGAGUUACUGGCCUGUUGUUGCUCGUCAAGUGCUGCUGCUGUGCUUUGCCUCUGCUGAUUGCUUACGUUGUUCAUGUGUUGCUGCUGCUGAUUGAUGUUUAUGUGAUGCUGCUGCUAAUUGCUUAUUGUUGCUGCUGUUGUGCUCUGCCUCUGCUGAUUGCUUUAUGUUGUUCAUGUGCUGCUGCUGAUUGAUGUUCGAGGGGUUCGUGGACGAGGAGUCCGAUGGCGAGGUCAAGCCCUUCCCCGCCGGCAGGAGCGGCUUCUCCGGAGGUAAAGAAAGGGCCCCUGUCAGCCCCGCGUCGGUUUGGGUGCUUCUGUUUGCCCUGCUCCUCUAACCUCUCAGGUGAAUAGACGGUUUCUUGGGCCCGUUGUGCGAUGGAUGGAUCCGGCGUCUAGGCCGCCUCUUCGGAGAUCCAUUGGAUUUCCUGCUCUGCUCAGGAUUUGGGGUGGUCGAUUUGAGUCGUUUGGUGGGUUGGUGGUCGGAUUCGCAGCAGUAGCUAGAUGUAAUGUCGAUUUGUGCUAAUUUUAUGUGAAUGCUCAUUGCAACUUAAUUACCCCGAUUUCAUAUCUAAACUUUUCCUUUGUCAUGUGACUGAGAUAUAUCUAGAAAAAGAUCCUUGAUGCAACUCCGAUGACUGAUUAGAGAAGCUUGAUGUUUAUUUUUGUGAAAAAUAUGGUGUUGUAUCCCCCCGCAAAGAAAAAAAGAAGGAAAAUAUGGUGUUGUAGAUGUGGCUUGUUCUGGAAAACUUUUAUCUCCCCUCCCCCCGGGAUUUCUCUGCACGUAGGUUCUCUGCAAUAUUUUGAGGGUGGAAACUUCUCUCAUGGUGUAUUUGCAAGUAUAUUUAUGGAUCGUUGUUUAUUAGUCAAGGUUCUACUUGGUGCUAGUUUCCCGAUCCCUACACUGAUUAUAGUUUCCUGGUAAGGUUCCACUUCCUCUAUUUUCAUGCAUGGAUCGGAUCCUGGAGUAUAUUUCAUUUAAUAUGCCUCUGGUAUCUAUUUCUUUUUAUCAGGCCUUAUCGGUACUGAUUCUAUAUGCUAGAUGUACUGCUAUUAAUCCUGCUGACCCUCACAUCCUGAUUACUGUCAAUGGUGCACUAAUCUAUAAAUCAGAAGGUAUUUCCUGAUACCUGAUUAAACUGCUAUUGAAGUUUGAGUGCUAAUGCAGCAUAUCAUUUUGAUUAAAGAUUAAUAGUAGGCAAUGUAAACUGUAGUCAAUAAUUCAGGUAAAAACUUAAAGAUUCAUAGUAGGCUAUGUAAACAGUAGUCCACAGAGAAAGUACGUCGUUGUUUCCAUGGUAUUUUUGCUUUGUAGGCAAUAUUACGGUCCAAUGUUUUUUUGUUUUGUCUCUUUCUCUGUUGCUAGGAAAGUGGUGAGAAGAUGUCGAUGAUGCCUACUUGGGACAUUCAAAUCAACACAACAUAAAAAUUUCUGAACCUAUGUCUCAUAGAAGGGUGGAAUGAACUCCAUUGUUAGCAGAUGUGCCAUUGUUUUAUUGUGGAAUUCUGUCUGUUCUUGCUAUAUUUCUGUGUAAGGAAAAUGUAUUCAUGAGAUGAGUUAUUGUGUUAUGUAAACUUGGGAGAUGUAUUAUGUGAUGUUAUAUGAUGGAUGAUUUUAAUUUGACUUGGAGUUUUCUUGAUUUGAAUAUGAAAUAGUAUUGGAUUUAAUAUUGGACAAAUAAUUGGGUUGAAAAGGCCCAACAAAUAGAAAAGAGACCAAGUUCUGGAACGAAAAGUUGUUGAAUUUAAAAAUGAAAAAAAGGCCAAAAUUGAAACUGGACCAAAUGUAUUUGGGCACUAAAAGGCCGGGGCCCAAAUUAUAAGGAUACAAAAAGAAUUUGAAAAAAAUAUAUUAAAGUGGUUGUAAAUAGGCUAAGGCCCAAAAAGAAGCCCAAUAAGAAAAAGCUCAAGAAAAUAAAAUCAGCCCAUGUGAUCAAUUGAAAUGGGUUGGGCUGAUUUCAACCUUGACGUUUUGAUUUCGUCGUAAUUUUGCCACGUAGGACUGGGUUAGAUUGCCAACGACAAUUUAGGAUCGUCGUAAAGGUUACGACGAUCCAGGAAUCAUCGUAAAAGUUACGACGAUUUCGAUCAAAACGUCGAUGUUGUUCAUUUCUGACGCUCCGUUUUCGACGCUUGGUUUUUCGUCGUAAGAUCGUCGUAAACUAAAAACCGUGACGAUGUAGCGACGAAAAUAUAGCGUCGUGUAUUAGCAUAUUCCUUGUAGUGCCGGAACUAAAGGUUUAGGGCAUUAGUACCUACACUUUAGUCCCGGUUCAAAAACCAGGACAAAUGGCCCUCACGAACCGGGACAAUAGGUCCUUUCUCUACUAGUGUAAUAAAAAUAUGAAAUGCAAAGAUUUUUAUGGAAGUGACGAUCUUUACACGGGCAUGCUCAGGGUAGGUAACGGCGUCCGUGGCGGAGAACAGUUAAGAAACCCAGGUUCUCCUAUGCUUCACAGCACCCUGCCGUGCCAACCACUAGGUCACUGGAUUCAUGACCCCCUCGAUGUUCUACCACGGCAAUAUUUCACACACCCUUCAUCCUUCUCUCCCCCUCCAAGAAAACCCUUGUCCUCUCCUCCGCCCACAUAGCUGGUUCAUUCUCCGGCGAUGGUUUUCCGGGGGUUCUGGUGGCGGUGGAGAGACGAACCAGCGACACUCAUAUUGUAUCAGCCAACAUGGAUUGGCACUCACUCAGUUGUAGCUUUAGAGAACCAAACAACCUUUCCCCUUGCUCACAGAGAGGCACCAACAUUUCAAAAAAUUGUAAAGAGACGUGUAUGACAAACCGAAGACACCAUUAACCAACCAACCAGGUAAAGAGUUUACAAAUUGCAUGAGGCGGGAAAGCCCAACAGGCUCAACCUGGUAUAGACUUGACAGAGACAUAGACACAUGACAACGAACUUUUCGAAAAGUUGGAAGACUAUAGUUCCUACGCAAGAUUCCUCAUAUUAUUUGAUAACCGCCUCAAAGCCAGACACAUGUUUGCAUCUUCAGAGAUAGAUACACCCCAUCAUGGGAGGGAUCACAUUGGGGCUCUGUUUUUUUUUUUUUGCUUUGACUGCUACUAAUUAGGACCAUAGGCCGCGAUCUGUU
rnacentral:lncRNA from 1 species